UACAGAGGGUGCGAGCGUUAAUCGGAAUUACUGGGCGUAAAGCGCGCGUAGGCGGCUUUGCAAGUCGGGUGUGAAAUCCCCAGGCUUAACCUGGGAACUGCAUUCGAGACUGCAUGGCUAGAGCAUGGGAGAGGGAAGUGGAAUUUCAGGUGUAGCGGUGAAAUGCGUAGAUAUCUGAAGGAACAUCAGUGGCGAAAGCGACUUCCUGGACCAAUACUGACGCUCAUGUGCGAAAGCGUGGGGAGCAAACAGG
rnacentral:rRNA from 1 species